AAUCUUGCGCAAUGGGCGAAAGCCUGACGCAGCGACGCCGCGUGAGUGAAGAAGGCCUUCGGGUUGUAAAACUCUGUCCUCAGGGAAGAAGCAAGUGACGGUACCUGAGGAGGAAGCCCCGGCUAACUACGUGCCAGCCGCCGCGGUAAUACGUAGGGGGCGAGCGUUGUCCGGAAUCAUUGGGCGUAAAGGGUGCGUAGGCGGCCUUUUAAGUCAGAUGUGAAAGAUCACGGCUCAACCGUGGUAAGCAUUUGAAACUGGAAGGCUUGAGUUAAGGAGAGGAAAGUGGAAUUCCUAGUGUAGCGGUGAAAUGCGUAGAUAUUAGGAGGAAUACCAGUGGCGAAGGCGACCAUCUGGGCUAAUACUGACACUGAGGUGCGAAAGCGUGGGGAGCAAAC
rnacentral:rRNA from 1 species